UGCAUCGGUCGGGAAUCGAACCCGGGCCACCCGCGUGGCAGGCGAGCAUUCUACCACUGAACCACCGAUGC
rnacentral:tRNA from 1 species